rnacentral:tRNA from 1 species
GAGGGUGUAGCUCAAGUGGUAGAGCACAUGCUUAGCAUGCACAAGGUCCUGGGUUCAAUCCCCAGUGCCUCCU